GUGAACGCUGGCGGUAGGCCUAACCCAUGCAAGUCGCACGGCAGCACAGUAAGAGCUUGCUCUUACGGGUGGCGAGUGGCGGACGGGUGAGGAAUACAUCGGAUUCUACUUUUUCGUGGGGGAUAACGUAGGGAAACUUACGCUAAUACCGCAUACGACCUACGGGUGAAAGCAGGGGAUCUUCGGACCUUGCGCGAUUGAAUGAGCCGAUGUCGGAUUAGCUAGUUGGCGGGGUAAAGGCCCACCAAGGCGACGAUCCGUAGCUGGUCUGAGAGGAUGAUCAGCCACACUGGAACUGAGACACGGUCCAGACUCCUACGGGAGGCAGCAGUGGGGAAUAUUGGACAAUGGGCGCAAGCCUGAUCCAGCCAUACCGCGUGGGUGAAGAAGGCCUUCGGGUUGUAAAGCCCUUUUGUUGGGAAAGAAAAGCAGCAGGUUAAUACCCCGCUGUUCUGACGGUACCCAAAGAAUAAGCACCGGCUAACUUCGUG
rnacentral:rRNA from 1 species